GACGAACGCUGGCGGCGUGCUUAACACAUGCAAGUCGAACGGAAAGGCCCUGCUUUUGUGGGGUGCUCUAGUGGCGAACGGGUGAGUAACACGUGAGUAACCUGCCCUUGACUUUGGGAUAACUUCAGGAAACUGGGGCUAAUACCGGAUAGGAGCUCCUGCUGCAUGGUGGUGGUUGGAAAGUUUCGGCGGUUGGGGAUGGACUCGCGGCUUAUCAGCUUGUUGGUGGGGUAGUGGCUUACCAAGGCUUUGACGGGUAGCCGGCCUGUGUGGGUGACCGGCCACAUUGGGACUGAGAUACGGCCCAGACUCCUACGGGAGGCAGCAGUGGGGAAUAUUGCAAAAUGGGCGGAAGCCUGAUGCAGCAACGCCGCGUGCGGGAUGACGGCCUUCGGGUUGUAAACCGCUUUCGCCUGUGACGAAGCGUGAGUGACGGUAAUGGGUAAAGAAGCACCGGCUAACUACGUG
rnacentral:rRNA from 1 species